ACGAACUAUACAACCAAGCCCUGGUACAUUUUUGUGUAUUUGCCACUUUGUUGAUGGAAACAAAAAUAAUGGAUCCACAUUGUUUUCACACAAUACUGGAAAACAAUUUAAGUUUUCUUCUCCAGAAAAGAGAACAAGAAAAAGGAAAGUGUUGGAUAUGGAAGAAACUUCUGAAAAUCCUACAUAUGAAACGGAACUGACUGAUCCACAACCGUCCACCUCAAAAGAAACCAUACCCCCAGGACCUAUGUCUGCAGAAAUUGUUGCUGAAAAUUAUUUUCUCAAGCAAGAUCUGCAGCAAGCAUUACAUAAACUGACCCAUUUAUCAGAACAUUUUUCUUUUGAAAACAUAAGGGGCAACAACAAAUUGAUACUAUUGUAUACAGGCAUACCUACAGAAAAUAUAUUUAUGUCCCUAUUCAA